rnacentral:rRNA from 1 species
AUGUGUGUAGUCGGUAUUUGUCUUGUAGCAUGGUCAUAUUCAGAGACUCAACUCGUUUCUUCUUUUGUUCCUACAAGACAAUUCAACUUAACUUUAAAAAGUAACAGUAAAUUUGGAUACUGCCAGACACAAGAGAAGACUGUUACAAUGAUAGUAUGUGCUACAUUUGAUCCCAGGUUGUAUAACAUAUCUGUUACUGCAGGUCACCCAUCCUCUUCUUCCUUGACCAUCGGUACCACCAUGUUCCCGGGCUUCCAAGGUGCGCCAGCACACCGCCGCCAUGCCUCCUCUGCUCUCCGGGCUCGGACCAAUCGCUCGCCCCUUCAGGUCCGGCAGCACCGCCGCGUCGACGACGAAGGUGGUGACUGCGGCGGCGAGCGGCGCGAGUUGGUGGCUAUGGGACUCGGCGGCACGGCUCUCGUCAGCGGUGACAGAGGCGGUUCUUAG